rnacentral:rRNA from 1 species
UACGGGGGGGGCAAGCGUUGUUCGGAAUUACUGGGCGUAAAGGGCUCGUAGGCGGCCAACUAAGUCAUACGUGAAAUCCCCAGGCUCAACCUGGGAACUGCGUCUGAUACUGGAUGGCUUGAAUUCGGAAGAGGGAUGCAGAAUUCCAGGUGUAGCGGUGAAAUGCGUAGAUAUCUGGAGGAACACCGGUGGCGAAGGCGGCACCCUGGAACGGUACUGACGCUGAGACGCGAAAGCGAGGGGAGCAAACGGG